GUUAAGCAUUGCCGCAUUUUGUAGAUGGGAAAACCGUAGGGAAAGUAAAGGAGCUCCUGCAAAUCACACCUUCAGUAGUCAAUGGCGAUGAAACUUGAGGACCUGAUUCAAUUCGCCAAAUGAUCUCCAUUCACCAAAAGAGAAAACGGAAGCAAAGAGAGGAUAUUCCAGAAACAAGUCUCUGGGGAUGUGAUAUUUACAGAGAUGACAAUGAGCAAGCCUUCUCCAGACAAAGAGUUACAAGACAAAGUUCUGAAGCCAAACAGAGCUUGGCAUGUGAGUGAAACCAAAGAGUUCAAUAUGGCUGGAGAAAAGUCUCAGCGGAGAGGAACUGGAGAUAAAGAUGAGUGAAAACAAAGGCUGGUAUUGAAAAAACUCUUUCAACCUAUCUUCCCAACAUACACACCUUCUAACGAAGUAUGAUCAAAGGUAAAGAGACUGAAGAACAAGAAUUUAAUCCAGAGAGGAGUGGCACUGGAGAUCUGAGUGGGCAGAGACCAUUGGAGAAGUCAAUGGAAAUAGGAAGAAAUUUUAUAGGAAUACAAGGAGGAGCAGUAGAAGGAGACUGGUCCUAAAGGAAACUGACAGUAAAGUGAAUAGAAGUCCUCCUGCACCAGAACUUUAGGAAGCUCUCCUUCACCCCCGGGAGUCAUUGCUAGACCAGAAGGGUCAAGCAACACCAAAUAGCAACAGCCAAGCCUCGGCAAUUUUAAAGGAAGAAAAAAAAUGUGAACAAGAGCAACGCGUGAAGAAAAUGACCCACCCUGUCCAGGAUUCUAGGCAAAAAAAUAAGUGAAAGAUGGUACUAAGUAGUUGCUGUGAGAUCCUCUCCCCGCAUGCAUCAUAUUAAAAUCACAUCUAAAGUUUGGGUUCCUUACUCUGAUAUAAAUGGUGUGGGGUUCAUUUAGUGUAUUCACCUUGCCCCUGUAAGAAAAAAGAGACCCAAAUGAGACGCAUCGUGCAAAGCUCGGAAAGAUUCUUAGCACUCUUUUUAAAGAAAAAAAGAAAUAUUCUAUAUUGAAGUAAGUCAGUAAAUAAACAUUAACUUGAAUAUUCAAGUUUAUCUGACUUAACUCUGGCCAAAAAAAAAAAAAAAAAAAAGACAUUGCUGUAACUUUAAGUUUUAUCUGAAAGUCUAGGCAAGUCAAAGUACAGAACACAGAAGGAGCCUCAGACUGUAGCCCACCUGGAAAUCAGGGGUUCUGCUCUGCAUCAGGUCUGCCUCCCGGACAGAGAGAUCGCAUGUGCACACAGACUGGCUCUUUGAUUAGCACAUUGCUUUACAGUUAUGAAAUGAAGGAAGCAAUAACAUUACACAGCAAUUUCAAUCUCUCCCGUGCCCACAAUUCUUCGGGAUGGCAGGACAUUAUCUUAGAUCACUAUUUCUUCAAGUCAAAGGGCUUCACACAGAGCAAAGUAUGCUACCUUAAAAGAGAAGUAGAAAGAGAAAGUGAAAGAGAAAGAGACAGAGAGAAGAAAAAAAAAAAACAACAAACCCCACCAAUAUUCUGAUGCAGGAUUCCAUUUGGAAAAGAACACCAAACAAUUUUCUAUCUUAGAAUAGCUACACAAUAAAAAAUA